CAGGAACUCCUUUCUCAGGGGGUAUUUUAAGGGGUAAUUCUCCUGCCUGGGUAUCCGCUUUCAGCUCUAUAGUAGUGCUGGGCGGGAAAAUUCGCUGCUCGCCAAAAAUUAAAUAAAUUGUACAUAGAACACAGUAUUGGGAAGUGCUAACGUGAUGUUUUUCUUUUUUUCAGCGAGCGAUGAACAAAGUGUUCAAGCGUUUGAGGCGUUUUUUCCCUUGCUUCGGCAAGGAGAAGCCCACUGAGGAGCCCCAGGAAUUUAUCUGCCUGGUACCAUCGGUUGGAUCUGGCAACGCCGUUUGCCAAGAGGAGAAACCAGAGCACAAAAUGGAGCCGGCUAUAGACAACUGCCGGG